rnacentral:rRNA from 1 species
UACGGGGGGGGCAAGCGUUGUUCGGAAUUACUGGGCGUAAAGGGCUCGUAGGCGGCCAACUAAGUCGGACGUGAAAUCCCCAGGCUCAACCUGGGAACUGCGUCCGAUACUGGAUGGCUUGAAUCCGGGAGAGGGAUGCAGAAUUCCAGGUGUAGCGGUGAAAUGCGUAGAUAUCAGGAAGAACACCCGUGGCGAAGGCGGCUCUCUGGAACGCAACUGACGCUGAGACGCGAAAGCGUGGGGAGCAAACAGG